CAAGUCCCUUUGAAUUAGGAUUUCAGGGGUAUCAACCGUGACAAGACCAUUCUUCUUUCUAGGAGAAAUUAGGUUGGGAAUUGAUGUCUGCUGUACGCCCUUAGGAGCAGCAUUAGAAGCAAACUGAGGAGAACUCUGACCUCCAUUCUGCCAGUUGGCAUUGGGCUUUGCUGGGCUUUUGAGAGCGUCUAAAUUGGCUGUUAAUAGAACAUUUUCUGGAGCCUCUUAAGCAGUGGCAGCCCCGAUCCUCUGUGCUAGUUCAGAGGCUUAUGGUAAAUCUCCCGGCCAACAGCUGGGGACUAUACAGUGUCAUUCCCUGUAGAGGAGGAGUUUGUCAGCCUGAUACUUGGAAAGCAGGUUAUAUGCGUCAGGGAUGCCUGUCUUUUCUCUGAGUGGACUAGCUGUGCCAGGCUGGAACGUCGUCCUCUAGCUGAGUAAGUGCUCGAGAAUCCACUGCUUUGCAUUUGCUCUAGAAAUCAUGCUCGCUAACGAGAGAACAAACCUUCAUCUGCCAAUCCGGCCCGAGAGCAGACGAUUGAAAGCUUGAGGUGGGUACAGGCUCCUUUGAAUUCUAGCUGUUUCCCACAGGUGUUUUUAGUCUAGUCGUAUGAGUGCUUUGGUUCAUCGUGUCUUUGUUUUCUCUACAUCAGGGUUUUCUCGUGUCUAUGUUUGGUACAUACUAGAGUAUAGGUCAGAUCCGCAGUCCAGUUCCACUCCUCUCUGGUAGUGGCUGAUUCCCAAUUCUGCAGAGAACGGGAACCCUCUCCCCACACAGUGCAAGUGGGGCUAGCCGUGCCGUGCACUUUAAUUCCUUCCUGUCCCCUUGGUUUCCUCUCUCUGAGAACGGCGGUUCUUUCCUACUCUGAAUUGCUUCUUGCCAGACACGUUGUAAAAACCUGAGGGGAUAUUAUUCGAACAUGAAAUACCGGUGUAUUGACAUGAACUAUUAACUUUCACUCCAGGAAGCAUAACUAAAUCAUCCCUGCAUACUAUAUCCUGGCUGUACAGUACCAGACCACGGGGGCUCUGAUUCUUGAGGGGGGGCCUGUAAUGUAACACCUGCAGCCUUUCUGUCACCCCAUAUUCAUCUCCAGAUCCAUUUCAAGCCCUUUC
rnacentral:lncRNA from 1 species